CCUACGGGUGGCAGCAGUGGGGAAUAUUGGACAAUGGGCGAAAGCCUGAUCCAGCCAUGCCGCGUGUGUGAAGAAGGCCUUCGGGUUGUAAAGCACUUUCAGUGGGGAAGAAAGCCUUGGGGCUAAUACCCUCGAGGAAGGACAUCACCCACAGAAGAAGCACCGGCUAACUCCGUGCCAGCAGCCGCGGUAAUACGGAGGGUGCGAGCGUUAAUCGGAAUUACUGGGCGUAAAGCGCGCGUAGGCGGUCUGAUAAGCCGGUUGUGAAAGCCCCGGGCUCAACCUGGGAACGGCAUCCGGAACUGUCAGGCUAGAGUGCGGGAGAGGAAGGUAGAAUUCCCGGUGUAGCGGUGAAAUGCGUAGAGAUCGGGAGGAAUACCAGUGGCGAAGGCGGCCUUCUGGACUGACACUGACGCUGAGGUGCGAAAGCGUGGGUAGCAAACAGGAUUAGAUACCCGUGUAGUC
rnacentral:rRNA from 1 species